rnacentral:rRNA from 1 species
AAUUUAAUAAACUUUUUUUUUAUGUGAACAUUAAUUAAUGAAUAUUUGAUCCUCUAUUAGAGAUUAAAAGUUAAAAUUACCUUAGGGAUAACAGCGUAAUUUUUUUUUAGAGUUCAAAUCAAAAAAAAGGAUUGCGACCUCGAUGUUGGAUUAAAAUAAAAUUUUGGUGUAGAAGCUAAAAUAUUAGGUCUGUUCGACCUUUAAAUUUUUACA